ACCUGCGGAAGGAUCAUUAUCGAGUUUUGAAACGGGUUGUAGNUNNCNUUNUUUGGCACCGUGCACGCCCUGCUCAUNCNCUNUACACCUGUGCACUUACUGUAGGUUUCAGACGCGAUGCGAGUUUAGGCUCGCGGAGCUUAUGGGGCUUACGUUUCAACCACAAACGCUUCAGUAUCAGAAUGUGUAUCGCGAUGUAACGCAUCUAAAUACAACUUUCAGCAACGGAUCUCUUGGCUCUCGCAUCGAUGAAGAACGCAGCGAAAUGCGAUAAGUAAUGUGAAUUGCAGAAUUCAGUGAAUCAUCGAAUCUUUGAACGCACCUUGCGCUCCUUGGUAUUCCGAGGAGCAUGCCUGUUUGAGUGUCAUGAAAUUCUCAACCUAUAAGCCUUUGCGGGUUUUGUAGGAUUGGACUUGGAGGUUUUGUCGGCUCACGUCGGCUCCUCUCAAAUGCAUUAGCUUGAUUCCUUGCGGAUCGGCUCUCGGUGUGAUAGUUUUUUGCGCCGCGACCGUGAAGCGUUUGGCGAGCUUCUAACCGUCUCUUUCGAGACAAUCGACUGAACUCUGACCUCAAAUCAGGUAGGACUACCCGCUGAACUUAAGCAUAUCAAUAAGCGGAGGAAAAGAAANUAACAAGGAUUCCCCUAGUAACUGCGAGUGAANCGGGAAAAGCUCAAAUUUAAAAUCUGGCGGUCUUUGGCCGUCCGAGUNNUANUCUGGAGAANUGCUUUCC
rnacentral:rRNA from 1 species